rnacentral:misc_RNA from 1 species
UUAGGGAGACCUACCCAACUUUGAAAUCGAAAGCAAACAGUGAAUAGAGACAAAGAUGGUCUACUCUAGGUCGGUCGAGAUUGAUGAAGAACUUUCAAAGUAUUGUGUGUUCGGUAAAUAAAAAUGAUUGCAAACAUCAAAAGGUAAAAUCAGCAAUUGACUCUUUGUUUAAAUAGUCAAACUGCUGGAAUAAUUCCAGCCAGAACCUUGAAAACUGCAUAGUAACGCGAUAGAAAGCAGGCAGACACAGGCACGAAUAGUGUUGGUGAAUGCAAGUUGGAAAACCAAUGGAAUAGU